rnacentral:rRNA from 1 species
UACGUAGGUGGCGAGCGUUGUCCGGAUUUACUGGGCGUAAAGGGCGUGCAGGCGGUUUGUUAAGUGCAGAGUGAAAGCUCCCGGCUCAACUGGGGAGAGGUCUUUGCAUACUGGCAAACUCGAGGGAGGCAGAGGAAAGUGGAAUUCCCGGUGUAGUGGUGAUAUGCGUAGAUAUCGGGAGGAACACCUGUGGCGAAGGCGGCUUUCUGGGCCUUACCUGACGCUGAGACGCGAAAGCGUGGGGAGCGAACCGG